ACCAUCCUUUCCUUGGGGUUGUGCUAUUGUCCGAUGAGCACAUAGUGAGGGUGGUACUGUUAACACCCACACAGCAUGCUCACAUCAACGAGAGCUUUGCUUUACAUUGGUGCAAUUUUUGGAAAA